ACCACUGAUGGAAUUGCGCUGACUGUCCAUGCUGUGAUGGACUCUGUCCUAAUCCGUGAGCUGAAGUAAAUCCCACCACAAUCUACGUCUGCCAGGUAUUUGGUCACAGGAAUGUGAAAGGAAGGACCCUUUGAUUGAAGAGCCAGACUUGGGGUCCCCAAACCUCAGUCCUGCCUGACCUUUGGUAAGGUUGACCACCAGCAGCACAGAGAAGACAAUGAGGAACAGGACCUGCAGUGGCGGAACUGGAGUGACAGAAUGUCUGGCAGACUCUUCCAUGAAGCAGGAACCUUGCAGCACUGUCCCA